GAUGAACGCUGGCGGCGUGCUUAACACAUGCAAGUCGAACGGAAAGGCGCUGCUUUUGUGGGGUGCUCGAGUGGCGAGCGGGUGAGUAACACGUGAGUAUCCUGUCCCUGAAUUUGGGAUAAAUUCAGGAAACUGGGGAUAAUACCGGAUAGGAGCUCUUGCUGCAUGGUGGGGGUUGGUAAGUUUCGGCGGUUGGGGCUGGUAUCGCGGCUUCUCCGCUUGUUGGUGAGGUUGUGGAUUUCCAAGGUUUUGAAGGAUAGCCGGCCUGAGAGGGUGACCGGCCACAUUGGGACUGAGAGACGGCGCAGACUGCUACGGGAGGCAACAGGGGGGAAUAUUGCACAAUGGGCGGAAGCCAGAUGUAGCAACGCCGCGUGCGGGAUGACGGCCUUCGGGGGGUAAACCUCUGUCUCCGGUGACGAAGCGUGAGUGACGGUAAUGGGUAAAGAAGCACCGGCUAACUACGUG
rnacentral:rRNA from 1 species